CAGCCGCUGCGUGAAUACAGAGGGUGCGAGCGUUAAUCGGAUUUACUGGGCGUAAAGCGUGCGUAGGCGGCUUCUUAAGUCGGAUGUGAAAUCCCUGAGCUUAACUUAGGAAUUGCAUUCGAUACUGGGAAGCUAGAGUAUGGGAGAGGAUGGUAGAAUUCCAGGUGUAGCGGUGAAAUGCGUAGAGAUCUGGAGGAAUACCGAUGGCGAAGGCAGCCAUCUGGCCUAAUACUGACGCUGAGGUACGAAAGCAUGGGGAGCAAACAGGAUUAGAUACCCCUGUAGUCCCUGUCUCUUAUAC
rnacentral:rRNA from 1 species